UCUUGGCCGUGUAUCGGCUACAUUUCCCACGUGCCCUCUUUAUAAACAGCCGACGGCCAUGCUAGUAUCCGAGGCAACUGUCAGUCAUUGCUGAGUUACUAUGUGAUGUCACAUUUAUUUGUGUGAGGGGCUCACAAGUAAUUGUGGAAUUGAGUGAAAGUCAUGGGGGAAUCCCUAUUAUCAAUGAAGCAGAUGAAAAGCCUGGAGAUGUGGAUCAGAGAACAUGAGGCCUCAGGAGCUGCAGGUGAGACAGAACUUUCCUCCUCUUCUUACACUGCAGUACCUGCGAGAGCCACAAGAGGGAGACACGAGAAGCUUUAUUAGCUGACUGCACAGGACAUCUAUACAACUGUCACUCAAUAUUUACUGCAAUUGUCUGCAGCUCUGAACAUGAUAUAUUGUAUUA